rnacentral:lncRNA from 1 species
GGCGGCGGCGGCGGCGGCUCUCGGGGCUGACGAACGAGGAGCGAAGGCCUCCAGGUCGGCAGGAGGGCAUUUAAAGCAAGCAAAAUAGUGCCAACGAAGAUCAUCUCAUCUCACCCGUGUCCAUGACUGCACAAAUAUCAGAUUUCCUUUGUUGUGCAGCUUUCAGGUUCUGUUCAAGGCAGGAUAUGAACUCUUCUAUUGAUUGUGAAGGUGGUUCAGGGUCUGCUGAAAAUUAAGUACAUUGUGUGCUACCGAGUCAGCUGUUUUGCCUCCAGACCGUCCAUCUCUCAGCUGGCAUCGAUUUCACAGAGAGCUGCUAAAACCUUUUUGCGUGAUCCUCAACAUUUCCUGAGAGAUUCAACUCUUCGGGGACUUCAAGACUCCAGUCUGACACGUGGGUUAUUGCAGCCCUGGUGCAGUGUAUCCAGAAAGCACUCUGACACAGCACCUGGGGACGGUCUGCCCCAGUCGGGGCGUUGGUCAGCCUCGCUUCUGGUGCAGUGCUUCUGCACAGCUCCUGGCUGCCUCCUGCAACAGCCUCCGCCCAAGCUGUAUUUCUUCCUUUUACUACAAAUUAGAAAUACAUAUUUACAAGCUCUAAUUAUAUUUCAAUGACUAAUCUGUUGAAGGAGUCACCGAAAAAAAAAAAAAAAGUAGAUUGAAGUUAUCAGGACAGAUCUUGGAUAGAGAAAGUACAGCUCGAUUUAUUUCGAAGCAUGAGGUAGAUGGGUUCAGUAACUCAUGGUGUAGAAAUGGACGGUGCUCUGACUUUGCUGUCAACAAGCUGCCUUCUCUUCUCUUGCUCUUUCUUCCACAUCUGUUUGUGUACUCAAACCCUUCCCGACGCUGCCUUUGCAUAUCUUACAUAAUU